AAAACGGAGAGUUUGAUCCUGGCUCAGGAUGAACGCUGGCGGUAUGCUUAACACAUGCAAGUCGAACGGAAUCUUCGGAUUUAGUGGCGGACGGGUGAGUAACGCGUGAGAAUCUAGC
rnacentral:rRNA from 1 species